rnacentral:rRNA from 1 species
AGGUAAAUCCGGGAUUCUAAGGCCGAGAGCUGAUGACGAGUUAACUUUUAGUUAACGAAGUGGUUGAUGCCMUGCUUCCARGAAAAGCYUCUAAGCUUCAGRUWACMAGKMAYCGUACCCCAAACCGACACAGGUGGUYGGGUAGAGAAUACCAAGGCGCUUGAGAGAACUCGGGUGAAGGAACUAGGCAAAAUGGCACCGUAACUUCGGGAGAAGGUGCGCCGGUGAGGGUGAAGGACUUGCUCCGUAAGCUCAUGCCGGUCGAAGAUACCAGGCCGCUGCGACUGUUUAUUAAAAACACAGCACUCUGCAAACACGAAAGUGGACGUAUAGGGUGUGACGCCUGCCCGGUGCYGGAAGGUUAAUUGAUGGGGUUAGCKWAMGCGAAGCUCUUGAUCGAAGCCCCRGUAAACGGCGGCCGUAACUAUAACGGUCCUAAGGUAGCGAAAUUCCUUGUCGGGUAAGUUCCGACCUGCACGAAUGGCRUAAYGAUGGSGGCGCUGUCUCCASCMGAGRCUCAGUGAAAUYGAAAUCGCYGUGAAGAUGCAGUGUAUCCGCGGCUAGACGGAAAGACCCCGUGAACCUUUACUAUAGCUUUGCACUGGACUUUGAAUUUGCUUGUGUAGGAUAGGUGGGAGGCUUUGAAGCGUGGACGCYAGUUCGCGUGGAGCCAACCUUGAAAUACCACCCUGGYWWSUUUGAGGUUCUAACUYAGGUCCGUUAUCCGGAUCGRGGACAGUGYAUGGUGGGUAGUUU